rnacentral:rRNA from 1 species
UACGUAGGUGGCAAGCGUUGUCCGGAAUUAUUGGGCGUAAAGCGCGCGCAGGUGGUUUCUUAAGUCUGAUGUGAAAGCCCACGGCUCAACCGUGGAGGGUCACUGGAAACUGGGGAACUUGAGUGCAGAAGAGGAAAGUGGAAUUCCAAGUGUAGCGGUGAAAUGCGUAGAGAUUUGGAGGAACACCAGUGGCGAAGGCGACUUUCUGGUCUGUAACUGACACUGAGGCGCGAAAGCGUGGGGAGCGAACAGG